rnacentral:rRNA from 1 species
UGGCUGCGGUAUUUUGACCGUACAAAGGUAGCAUAAUCAUUAGUUUAUUAAUUGUAAACUUGUAUGAAUGGUUUAACGAAAUAUUGACUGUCUCAUAUUUAAUAUUAUAAUUUAAAUUUUUAGUUAAAAUGCUAAAAUAUUUUUAUAGGACGAGAAGACCCUAUAGAUCUUUAUAAUUUAUUAGUUUUUUUUAUUUAGUUUAUUUUUUAUAAAAUUGUUUUAUUUUUUUGUUGGGGUGACAUGAAGAUAUAAUUAACUCUUUAUAUUUAUAUUCAAUUAUUUUUGUUUAUUUGACCUUUUAUUAAUGUUAUAAGAUAUAGAUACCUUAGGGAUAACAGCGUAAUUCUUUUUGAGAGUUCAUAUCGACAAGAGAGAUUGCGACCUCGAUGUUGGAUUAAGAUUAUAUUUAGGUGUAGUUGCUUAAUUAUUAAGUCUGUUCGACUUUUAAAUUCUUACAUGAUCUGAGUUCAAAACCGGAG